rnacentral:rRNA from 3 species
UAAGGUCACGGCAAGAUGAGCCGUUUAUCAUAACAAUAGGUGCCAAGUAGAAGUGCAGUAAUGUAUGCAGCUGAGGCAUUCUAACAGACCGAGAGAUUUGAAC